rfam:Snodgrassella alvi SCGC AB-598-P14 SCG598P14_112480, whole genome shotgun sequence.
CAUGAGUAAUCUGUUGCGGAGAAAUAAAGUGAAUAUGGGUAUCAAUCCCGCCUGCGGUCGCGAUCAGGUUGGCGCCAUUAUGCACUUCGGUGGCGGCACCAAUAAUCAUCCCGGGGUGCACUCCGUCCAUUGUAUCCGGAUUCCCUGACUGACCUACAGCAACAAUUUUGCCGUCACGAAUACCAAUAUCAGCUUUUACAAUGCCCCAAUAGUCCAGUAUCAGUACAUUAGUGAUAACCAUAUCAAGCACAUUUUCAUUACUGCGCGUUGCUGUAGCAGACUGUGCCAUUCCGUCCCGGAUG